UACGUAGGGACCGAGCGUUGUCCGGAUUCAUUGGGCGUAAAGAGCUCGUAGGCGGCUGUUCAAGUCGAACGUGAAAACUCGGAGCUCAACUCCGAGCCUGCGUUCGAUACUGCGGUGCUUGAGGACUGGAGAGGAGACUGGAAUUUACGGUGUAGCAGUGAAAUGCGUAGAGAUCGUAAGGAAGACCAGUGGCGAAGGCGGGUCUCUGGACAGUUCCUGACACUGAGGCACGAAGGCCAGGGGAGCAAACGGG
rnacentral:rRNA from 1 species